rnacentral:rRNA from 1 species
GACGAAGGGGGCUAGCGUUGUUCGGAAUUACUGGGCGUAAAGCGCGUGUAGGCGGUUGUUCAAGUCAGGUGUGAAAGCCUUGAGCUCAACUCAAGAAAUGCACUUGAUACUGGAUGACUAGAGGACCGGAGGAGGAUAUCGUGGAAUUCCCAGUGAUAGUGGUGAAAUACGUAAGAGAUUGGGAAGAACACCAGUAGGCGAAGGCGGCUGAUUCUGGACGGUUUCUGACGCUAAGACGCGAAAGCGUGGGGAGCAAACAGG